rnacentral:rRNA from 1 species
AGAGGCAAUAAUGUUGAUAUGAGUAACAAGAAAUAAUUCUCCUUGCAUAUGUGUAUAUCAGAGCGGAUAGACCACUGAUAAUUAUCAAAAUUAGUAUAACCAUAAACAAGUAUAUAAUAAUAAUUGUUAACCCAACACAGGAGUGCUAAUCCAAGGAAAGAUAAAAGAAGUAAAAGGAACUCGGC